UCCAAGAGACGUGAAGGCUCGGCUGAAGGUGUGGGCGCAAGCGGUGGCACUGGCAUCUGCAUCAAGAUACAGCACAUGAAUUCGAUUUUCCCCUAAUUCCUAUUCGCUUCCUCUCAGAGACUAUAUAUAUAUAUAUAUAUAUAUAUAUAUAUAUAUAUGUAUUAUAGGGUACUAUAACACAAGUUUUUAAAUUUUUCUUCCCACUAUGAUUAUUGUUGUAGAGUUGUUGUUUCCGCUGUAGGAGUGUUGAGGUUCAUUUCAGGUGGAAGUUUCUUUUUUGAGUGGUGGUCACUUUUGCUCUGUACAGUAGUGUUUGAAUGAGAUGAAAGGGCCCUGAUGCGAGAAAUUAGGGUGUGAAUAGCCAAUAAAAAUAUGUAAUUGAAAAAUUGUGAAUGGACAAAGGAAAAAAUGUGGAACUUUUAUGGGAAUUUUGGAUUCAUAUACA
rnacentral:lncRNA from 1 species